UUCUUGUCUAUUUUUUUUGUCUUUUUUCUUCUUCUUUUUUUUUGACGUUAAUUGCUCUACUAUGGUACGACAGAAAGGUAGAUUUAAGC
rnacentral:ribozyme from 1 species